UACGGAGGGUGCAAGCGUUAUCCGGAUUCACUGGGUUUAAAGGGUGCGUAGGUGGGUUGGUAAGUCAGUGGUGAAAUCCCCGAGCUUAACUUGGGAACUGCCAUUGAUACUAUCAGUCUUGAAUACCGUGGAGGUCAGUGGAAUAUGUCAUGUAGCGGUGAAAUGCUUAGAUAUGACAUAGAACACCAAUUGCGAAGGCAGCUGGCUACACGAAUAUUGACACUGAGGCACGAAAAGCGUGGGGAUCAAACAGG
rnacentral:rRNA from 1 species